UUUAGUAUGUCGUCCAAAAUGUGACAAAAUCGUCAUAGUUUAGUGUGUCGUCCAAAAUAUCACAAAAUCGUCAUAGUUUAGUAUGUCGUCCAAAAUGUGACCAAAAACGUCAAAGUAAGUAUGUUGUCCAAAACAUGACCAAAAACGUCAUACUUUAGUAUGUCGUCCAAAAUAUCACAAAAACGUCAUAGUUUAUUAUGUCGUCCAAAAUGUGACAAAAUCGUCAUAGUUUAGUAUGUUGUCCAAAAUGGGACAAAAAAAUCAUAGUUUAGUAUGUCGUCCAAAAUAUGACCAAAACACCAUAGUCUAGGGGCGCCUGCAUAGCUCAAUGGGUUAAGCAGGCGAACCAUGUAUAGGGACUGGUCUCUGACGCAGCGACCCAGGUUCGAUUCCCGCUCGCGGCCCUUUGCUGCAUGUCUUCCCGCAACUCUUCUCCCCAUUUCCUGUCUAUCUCUAUGUCUCCUGUCAAAUAAAUCCAAGAAAAGGCCAAAAAAAAAUAAACAUCAGAGUCAUAGUUUAGUAUGUCGUCCAAAAUGUGACAAAAACGUCAUAGUUUAGUAUGUCGUCCAAAAUGUGACCAAAAACGUCAUAGUUAAGUAUGUCGUCCAAAACAUGACCAAAAACGUCAUAGUUAAGUAUGUUGUCCAAAACGGGACAAAAAAAGUCAUACUUUAGUAUGUCGCCCAAAAUAUCACAAAAACGUCAUAGUUUAGUAUGUCGUCCAAAAUGUGACAAAAUCGUCAUAGUUUAGUAUGUCGUCCAAAAUAUCACAAAAUCGUCAUAGUUUAGUAUGUCGUCCAAAACAUGACCAAAAACGUCAUAGUUAAGUAUGUUGUCCAAAACGGGACAAAAAAAGUCAUACUUUAGUAUGUCGUCCAAAAUAUCACAAAAACGUCAUAGUUUAGUAUGUCGUCCAAAAUGUGACCAAAAACGUCAUAGUCUAGGGGCGCCUGCAUAGCUCAAUGGGUUAAGCAGGCGAACCAUGUAUAGGGACUGGUCUCUGACGCAGCGACCCAGGUUCGAUUCCCGCUCGCGGCCCUUUGCUGCAUGUCUUCCCGCAACUCUUCUCCCCAUUUCCUGUCUAUCUCUAUGUCUCCUGUCAAAUAAAUCCAAGAAAAGGCCAAAAAAAAAUAAACAUCAGAGUCAUAGUUUAGUAUGUCGUCCAAAAUGUGACAAAAACGUCAUAGUUUAGUAUGUCGUCCAAAAUGUGACCAAAAACGUCAUAGUUAAGUAUGUCGUCCAAAACAUGACCAAAAACGUCAUAGUUAAGUAUGUUGUCCAAAACGGGACAAAAAAAGUCAUACUUUAGUAUGUCGCCCAAAAUAUCACAAAAACGUCAUAGUUUAGUAUGUCGUCCAAAAUGUGACAAAAUCGUCAUAGUUUAGUAUGUCGUCCAAAAUAUCACAAAAUCGUCAUAGUUUAGUAUGUCGUCCAAAACAUGACCAAAAACGUCAUAGUUAAGUAUGUUGUCCAAAACGGGACAAAAAAAGUCAUACUUUAGUAUGUCGUCCAAAAUAUCACAAAAACGUCAUAGUUUAGUAUGUCGUCCAAAAUGUGACCAAAAACGUCAUAGUCUAGGGGCGCCUGCAUAGCUCAAUGGGUUAAGCAGGCGAACCAUGUAUAGGGACUGGUCUCUGACGCAGCGACCCAGGUUCGAUUCCCGCUCGCGGCCCUUUGCUGCAUGUCUUCCCACAACUCUUCUCCCCAUUUCCUGUCUAUCUCUAUGUCUCCUGUCAAAUAAAUCCUAGAAAAGGCCAAAAAAAUAAACAUCAGAGUCAUAGUUUAGUAUGUGACAAAAUCGUCAUAGUUUAGUGUGUCGUCCAAAAUGUGACAAAAUCGUCAUAGUUUAGUGUGUCGUCCAAAAUGUGACAAAAUCGUCAUAGUUUAGUGUGUCGUCCAAAAUAUCACAAAAUCGUCAUAGUUUAGUGUGUCGUCCAAAAUGUGACAAAAUCGUCAUAGUUUAGUGUGUCGUCCAAAAUGGGACAAAAACGUCAUAGUUUAGUGUGUCGUCCAAAAUGUGACAAAAUCGUCAUAGUUUAGUGUGUCGUCCAAAAUGUGACAAAAUCGUCAUAGUUUAGUGUGUCGUCCAAAAUAUCACAAAAUCGUCAUAGUUUAGUAUGUCGUCCAAAAUGUGACAAAAUCGUCAUAGUUUGUCGUCCAAAAUGUGACAAAAUCGUCAUAGUUUAGUAUGUCGUCCAAAAUGGGACAAAAAACGUCAAAGUUAAGUAUGUUGUCCAAAAUGGGACAAAAAAAGUCAUAGUUUAGUAUGUCGUCCAAAAUGUGACAAAAUCGUCAUAGUUUAGUGUGUCGUCCAAAAUGUGACAAAAUCGUCAUAGUUUAGUGUGUCGUCCAAAAUAUCACAAAAUCGUCAUAGUUUAGUAUGUCGUCCAAAAUGUGACAAAAUCGUCAUAGUUUAUUAUGUCGUCCAAAAUGGGACAAAAAACGUCAAAGUUAAGUAUGUUGUCCAAAAUGGGACAAAAAAAGUCAUAGUUUAGUAUGUCGUCCAAAAUGUGAC